rnacentral:rRNA from 1 species
GGUUCAGAUCAUGGCUCAGAUUGAACGCUGGCGGGAUGCUUUACACAUGCAAGUCGAACGGCAGCCUGGACUUCGGUCUGGUGGCGAGUGGCGAACCAGGUGAUAAUGUAUCGGAACGUGCCUAGUAGCGGGGGAUAACUACGCGAAAGCGUAACCCUAAUACCGCAUACGCCCUUCGGGGGAAAGCGGGGGACCUUCGGGCCUCGCCGCCUGUCCGACAGCGAUAUCCGGAUUAGCUAGUUGGUGGGGUAACGGCUCACCAAGGCGACGAUCCGCUGCGCUGGUUUGAGAGGACAGCCAGCCACCGCUGGGACUGAGGCGGCUUGAACUCCUACGGAGAGCAACGGUGGGGAAUUUUGGAUACGUGAGCACAGUCAGCCAUCCCGCGUGUGCGAUGAAGGCCUUCGGGUUGUAAAGCACGGCAGAAAGAAACGGCGGGAUAAUACCCCGUGCAACUGACGGUACCUGCAGAAUAAGCACCGGCUAACUACGUGCCAGCAGCCGCGGUAAUACCCGUACGGAUGCAAGCGUUAAUCGGAAUUACUGGGCGUAAGCGUGCGGUUCGGAAAGAUGUGAAAUCCCAGAGCUUAACUUUGGAACUGCAUUUUUAACUACCGAGCUAGAGUGGUAAAUGUUCAGAGGUGGAAUUCCGCGUGUAGCAGUGAAGCCGUAGAUAUGGAGAGAACACCAUUCUUGAAGGCAACCUCCUGGGAUAACACUGACAGCUCAUGCACGAAAGCGUGGGGAGCAAACAGGAUUAGAUACCUGGUAGUCCACGCCUAAACGAUAUCGCGCUGUUGGGGCCUUCGGGCCUUGGUGGCGCAGCGCCUAACGCGUGAAGUUGACCGCCUGGGAGUACGGUCGCAAGAUUAAAACUCAAAGGAAUUGACGGGGACCACUGGCGGUGGAUGAUGGAUUAAUUCGAUGCAACGCGAAAACCUUACCUACACUUGACAUGUCUGGAAUCCCGAAGAGAUUUGGGAGUGCCGCAGAGAACCGGAACACAGGUGCUGCAUGGCUGUCGUCGCUCGUGUCGUGAGAUGUUGGUUAAGUCUAACGAGGCGCAACCCUUGUCAUUAGUUGCUACGAAAGGGCAUAAUGAGACUGCCGGUGACAAACCGGAGGAAGGUGGGGAUGACGUCAAGUCCUCAUGGCCCUUAUGGGUAGGGCUUCACCGUCAUACAAUGGUCGGGACAGAGGGUCGCCAACCGCGGUGUCAGAAACCCGAUCGUAGUCCGGAUCGCAGUCUGCAACUCGACGCUGCGUGAAGUCUCGGAAUCGCUAGUAAUCGCGGAUCAGCAUGUCGCGGUGAAUACGUUCCCGGGUCUUGUACACACACCACCGCCCGUCACACCAUGGGAGUGGGUUUUCUGCCAGUAGUUAGCCUAACCGUAAGGAGGGCGGUUACCACGGUAGGAUUCAUGACUGGGGUGAAGUCGUAACAAGGUAA